rnacentral:rRNA from 1 species
GACGAACGCUGGCGGCGCGCUUAACACAUGCAAGUCGAGCGAAGCGGCGGACGGGUGAGUAACACGUGAGUAACCUGCCUUAGACAUUGGGAUAGCCUCGGGAAACCGGGAUUAAUACCAAAUGGUCUAAGAUGGACUCGCGUCCCAUUAGCUAGUUGGUGGGUAACGGCCCACCAAGGCGACGAUGGGUAGUCUGCCUGAGAGGGUGAACCGCCACAUUUGAACGGAGAAACGGUCCAAACUCUACGGGAGGCGGCAAUGGGGAAUACUGCACAAUGGAGGGAACUCUGAUGCAUCUACGCCGCGUGAACGAAUAAGUCUUUCGAGUCGUAAAGUUCUUUUAUAUGGGAAGCGGUACCAUAAGAAAAAGCCCCGGCUAACUACGUGCCAGCCGCCGCGGUAAUUC